GACAAAGAGAUUUCAGAGUCCUCAUUACUCACAUGCUGACGCUCAGAUCCCAGAUCUCCACCCUCCUCUCAUUGACGGCUACGAAGAUGAAGGCUGAUUGUGGAGCCCACUUGAUGUCGUGAACAAAAGCUGUGACAGAAGUGAAGGUUAAAAGGGGGGUGUGGGAGUCCCGGUGCCACAAAAGGAUGCUCCAGUCCGCAGAGCAGCUGAGGAACAUGUCUGUGCUGGAGGGAUUCCAGGCAACUUUGUACACAGGGCCCUGCUUGGAGAGAAACAAAACAGAAUUUGGUGCUGCCCAGCCUUCCUCCCACAGAAUCCUCUCCUUGCCCGAGCAAGAGCAGCAGUGGAUGUGGCCCUCUUCUGUUCCAGCAAGAAAAAUAUCAGUAUUCUGCAAGAAAGGGAAAAGCAGCCUAGGUUGGUUAAAUUGAUCACUCCUGCAGAAAUCAUCUGGGGCUGGAGGAGUUCAGAGCCAAGGAGGAGCUCCUGUGAGUGGUGAGUAAAGUGGAACCACAACACUGCACAUUUGCUGAGGUCUUCUUCAACAAUGAGCUGGGGUUUGACUCCUGAAAAUCUUAGAUUUUCAGCAAUCCACGUGGAAAAGGCAGGAAUUCUUCAAGUGCUCUGUGGAGGAAGUACUCAGCUGGAUGAAGAGAAGCUCAGCUGAGUCCUGGGUGUGGGAGGUGUUGAACAAAUUCUCCCAGGCUUGGCCAUCACUCAGAGGGGAACUGCCCCAAGGAAAUCCCAUCCUCCCUCCAGGAGAUAUCUCCUGUUAAUGGCCAGUGAGUCCCAGGGCAUGACUGAUAAAAUUCCAUCAUCCCACUGGGAGAUGCUCCAGCCAGGGGAGGAGCCAAGCCUUUCCUACCCAGAUAAAAACUGGGAUUUGGAACACCAGAGCUGCCCUUACCCACAGGUUUGCAGAGGACAAGAGCUACCAGAUCUUUCUACAGAUCACUAUUUCAACAAGAGCACUUCACCUGCACUACCACCACCCU